rnacentral:rRNA from 1 species
UACGUAGGGUGCGAGCGUUAAUCGGAAUUACUGGGCGUAAAGCGUGCGCAGGCGGUUCGUUGUGUCUGAUGUGAAAGCCCCGGGCUUAACCUGGGAAUGGCAUUGGAAACUGGCGAGCUGGAGUGUGGCAGAGGGGGGUGGAAUUCCGCGUGUAGCAGUGAAAUGCGUAGAUAUGUGGAGGAACACCGAUGGCGAAGGCAGCCCCCUGGGUUAACACUGACGCUCAUGCACGAAAGCGUGGGGAGCAAACAGG